CCGUAAACGAUGAGUGCUAAGUGUUGGAGGGUUUCCCCCUUCAGUGCUGCAGUUAACGCAUUAAGCACUCCGCUGGGGAGUACGGCCGCAAGGCUGAAACUCAAAGGAAUUGACGGGGGCCCGCACAAGCGGUGGAGCAUGUGGUUUAAUUCGAAGCAACGCGAAGAACCUUACCAGGUCUUGACAUCCUUUGACCACUCUAGAGAUAGAGCUUUCCCUUCGGGGACAAAGUGACAGGUGGUGCAUGGUUGUCGUCAGCUCGUGUCGUGAGAUGUUGGGUUAAGUCCCGCAACGAGCGCAACCCUUAUUGUUAGUUGCCAUCAUUCAGUUGGGCACUCUAGCGAGACUGCCGGUGACAAACCGGAGGAAGGUGGGGAUGACGUCAAAUCAUCAUGCCCCUUAUGACCUGGGCUACACACGUGCUACAAUGGACGGUACAAUGAGUCGCGAGACCGCGAGGUUUAGCUAAUCUCUUAAAGCCGUUCUCAGUUCGGAUUGUAGGCUGCAACUCGCCUACAUGAAGCCGGAAUCGCUAGUAAUCGUGGAUCAGCACGCCACGGUGAAUACGUUCCCGGGCCUUGUACACACCGCCCGUCACACCAUGAGAGUUUGUAACACCCAAAGUCGGUGAGGUAACCUUUUGGAGCCAGCCGCCUAAGGUGGGAUAGAUGAUUGGGGUGAAGUCGUAACAAGGUAACCA
rnacentral:rRNA from 1 species